GGGAUUAGAUUUGUGCCAAUAGGAUCAAGAAAAACACUUUGGAGAGCAAACAAAUUUUAAGACAUUGAGAGAAAAAACCUUGGUUUCAAAAGAAAAACUUACGAUCUGAAUCAGAUUCUUAAAAUGAUCAAGAAAAACACUUUGACGGUCAAACAAAAAUUAAGAAAUUGACAGAACAAAAAUAUUGACUAAAGGAAAAAAACAUGUUUCAAAAGUAAAACUUACUAUCUGAAUCAACUUCUUAAAAUGAGUAACAAAGUAUGUUUCCUUUUUCUGUUUGCCUCUAUGUGUUUUUGUUAUCAAUUUCCUUAGUUUUGUUCUCGCUGCUCAGAGCUUUGCUCUCACUACCAGAUUUGCACUUACACUGUCUGGCUUUCUCCUUUGCAAUCCCUGAGUUUUUGGUUGCAAUUCUGACACAACCCUUUCGGGUGGGCGGGACUUCUGAGAAGUCCUCUCCCAUAGGACAGUGGUUUCUCUUGAGUGACAGUUCAGUGACCUGGAAGUGAUGUAGCCUCCAAGACAUUUUUUUCCACCUGGUCAACAACAUGAAUUUUGAGCCCCAAACAGGUUAUUUCUGCUGUCUGUGGUGUCUACUGAGGAUCUAAAGAACCUGUGGAACAUCAGAGACUUUGCAGCUACUGGAGCUAACCUGUGUACUGCUAACUUGCUACAGAGGAAGCAGCAGAAAGCUGAGCUAACAGGCUGUUUUGCAGGUAAUCCUCGGGUGUCAGCAGGAGGAGGUGACCACCUGCAUAACGGAGCACCCUGGUUCUGAGCCAGUUGCACCUUUGUGCAGCUCUUUGGGGAGACGAUGCUCAGCAGACACAUUUCUCCAUGUGGUCAGGUGGUGUUGGUGUGAUCUGGGAGGGCACACUCAUGUCGUCAUCUCUUUGUGCCGUCUCCAGGAUCCUGAUGGGAGUUCUCUGUGCCUAUAAAGCAGGAGUAUUUACUUCUGGGCCUGGAGGGCCGGUAUCCAGCACGUUUUAGUUUUAACUCUGUUUCAAUACACCUGAUUUCAGUCAGCAGAUAAUUAACAGGCUUCUGCAGAGCUGCUGCACAGGUAAUUCAACCACUGAUUCAAGUGUGUUGGAGCAGGGAAACAACUAAAACGUGCUGGAUACCAGCCAUCCAGGACUAGAAUUGAAUACCCCUGCUAUAAA